GACGGAGGAUGCAAGCGUUAUCCGGAAUUAUUGGGCGUAAAGAGCUUGUAGGCGGUUUGUCGCGUCUGCUGUGAAAUUUCGGGGCUCAACCCCGAACUUGCAGUGGGUACGGGCAGACUAGAGUGUGGUAGGGGAGUCUGGAAUUCCUGGUGUAGCGGUGAAAUGCGCAGAUAUCAGGAGGAACACCGGUGGCGAAGGCGGGACUCUGGGCCGAUACUGACGCUGAGGAGCGAAAGCGUGGGGAGCGAACAGG
rnacentral:rRNA from 1 species